AGCGAACGCUGGCGGCAUGCCUAACACAUGCAAGUCUGACGGGCCUGGGGCUUGCUCCGGGUCAGUGGCGGACGGGUGAGGAACGCGUAGGAACGUAUCCAAGGGUGGGGAUAACCGCGGGAAACUGCGGCUAAUACCGCAUGGGGCCUCAAGGGAGACCUGGGGCCAAAGGCUGAGGGAAACCUUGGUCGCCGAUGGAGCGGCCUGCGUCCGAUUAGCUAGUUGGUGGGGUGACGGCUUACCAAGGCUACGAUCGGUAGCUGGUCUGAGAGGAUGAUCAGCCACACUGGGACUGAGACACGGCCCAGACUCCUACGGGAGGCAGCAGUGGGGAGUA
rnacentral:rRNA from 1 species